rnacentral:rRNA from 1 species
UACAGAGGGGGCUAGCGUUAUUCGGAAUUAUUGGGCGUAAAGGGCGCGUAGGCGGCCCGUCAAGUCCCGUGUGAAAGCCCCCGGCUCAACCGGGGAACGGCGCGGGAAACUAGCAGGCUUGAGUUCGGGAGAGGGAAGCGGAAUUCCGGGUGUAGCGGUGAAAUGCGCAGAUAUCCGGAAGAACACCGGUGGCGAAGGCGGCCUGCUGGGCAGUUUAGCUGACACUGAGGCGCGACAGCGUGGGGAGCAAACAGG